rnacentral:lncRNA from 1 species
CACAUUAGAAAGAAUCUCAGAAUGAAAUUGACAAAGUCAGUAGUGAAACAUGCCUUUAGAAAAAAUUCAAGU